rnacentral:rRNA from 1 species
GACGAACGCCUUUUGGCGUGCUUAACACAUGCAAGUCGAACGGAAAGGCCCUGCUUUUGUGGGGUGCUCGAGUGGCGAACGGGUGAGUAACACGUGAGUAACCUGCCCUUGACUUUGGGAUAACUUCAGGAAACUGGGGCUAAUACCGGAUAGGAGCUCCUGCUGCAUGGUGGGGGUUGGAAAGUUUCGGCGGUUGGGGAUGGACUCGCGGCUUAUCAGCUUGUUGGUGGGGUAGUGGCUUACCAAGGCUUUGACGGGUAGCCGGCCUGAGAGGGUGACCGGCCACAUUGGGACUGAGAUACGGCCCAGACUCCUACGGGAGGCAGCAGUGGGGAAUAUUGCACAAUGGGCGGAAGCCUGAUGCAGCAACGCCGCGUGCGGGAUGACGGCCUUCGGGUUGUAAACCGCUUUCGCCUGUGACGAAGCGUGAGUGACGGUAAUGGGUAAAGAAGCACCGGCUAACUACGUGCCAGCAGCCGCGGUGAUACGUAGGGUGCGAGCGUUGUCCGGAUUUAUUGGGCGUAAAGGGCUCGUAGGUGGUUGAUCGCGUCGGAAGUGUAAUCUUGGGGCUUAACCCUGAGCGUGCUUUCGAUACGGGUUGACUUGAGGAAGGUAGGGGAGAAUGGAAUUCCUGGUGGAGCGGUGGAAUGCGCAGAUAUCAGGAGGAACACCAGUGGCGAAGGCGGUUCUCUGGGCCUUUCCUGACGCUGAGGAGCGAAAGCGUGGGGAGCGAACAGGCUUAGAUACCCUGGUAGUCCACGCUGUAAACGGUGGGUACUAGGUGUGGGGUCCAUUCCACGGGUUCCGUGCCGUAGCUAACGCUUUAAGUACCCCGCCUGGGGAGUACGGCCGCAAGGCUAAAACUCAAAGGAAUUGACGGGGCCCCGCACAAGCGGCGGAGCAUGCGGAUUAAUUCGAUGCAACGCGUAGAACCUUACCUGGGUUUGACAUGGAUCGGGAGUGCUCAGAGAUGGGUGUGCCUCUUUUGGGGUCGGUUCACAGGUGGUGCAUGGCUGUCGUCAGCUCGUGUCGUGAGAUGUUGGGUUAAGUCCCGCAACGAGCGCAACCCUUGUUCACUGUUGCCAGCACGUUAUGGUGGGGACUCAGUGGAGACCGCCGGGGUCAACUCGGAGGAAGGUGGGGAUGACGUCAAGUCAUCAUGCCCCUUAUGUCCAGGGCUUCACGCAUGCUACAAUGGCUGGUACAGAGAGUGGCGAGCCUGUGAGGGUGAGCGAAUCUCGGAAAGCCGGUCUCAGUUCGGAUUGGGGUCUGCAACUCGACCUCAUGAAGUCGGAGUCGCUAGUAAUCGCAGAUCAGCAACGCUGCGGUGAAUACGUUCCCGGGGCU